GAUGAACGUUGGCGGUGUGCCUAAUACAUGCAAGUCGAACGAAGUUGAUAGUAAUAUUAGCUUAGUGGCGAACGGGUGAGUAACGCGUUGGUGAUCUGCCUUGAAGUGUGGAAUAACGUUUCGAAAGGAACGCUAAUACCGCAUGUGCUCUCGAUUUUCAGAAAGUUGAGAGUAAAGGAUUUAUUCGCUUCAAGAGGAGCCUGCGUCCCAUCAGCUGGUUGUAGGGUAACGGCCUACCAAGGCUAUGACGGGUAGGGGACCUGAGAGGGUGGCCCCCCACAAUGGAACUGAAACACGGUCCAUACACCUACGGGUGGCAGCAGUAGGGAAUAUUAGAAAUGGACGAAAGUCUGAUCUAGCAACACCGCGUGUGCGAAGAAGGCCUUCGGGUCGUAAAGCACUUUUGGAAGGAAUAGGAAGGAAUGUACUUCCAGAAUAAGUCUCGGCUAACUACGUGCCAGCAGCCGCGGUAAU
rnacentral:rRNA from 1 species